rnacentral:lncRNA from 1 species
GCCCAACAAGGAACUGAGGGUGAGCACAGCCCUUGCCUUCCCAUUCAAUGCAUCAGAGGAUCCCCACGUUCUCUUCUCCGCCUGGCCCCAGAAGGUGCCACAGCCUCAGUGAAGACCAAGUGGAGAGGAGGCAGAAUUGUCCCCAGGGCUGUCUGUGGUGGAGAUGACAUGAUGGCACAAUGUGAUGGAGAUGACACGAUGGAGAUGGCAUGCAGUGCUGGAUGAGUGCGGGAUAGGGGAAGGUAUGUGCAGCUACUGAUUGGGUUGGGAUGUGAAGUUCUGCUUCAUGGCGCCGCGCCUGGGAAUGUCAUGGCAGAGCCUGAGCCUCCCAAGAUCGUACAGAUGAACAUUUGUUCAUCUUUUUGACAUCACAGGGUGGGGCAUAACAUCAGUCGUGAUACUGAAUCUCCACUGAUCCCAUAACACCGUCAUAGAAGGCCGGUAUGUUGUGGCCAGGCCAUGCUGGGAAUUCUAUGGCUGGUGCGGGGGAAAGGCGUUGUGAUUUCACAGAGUGGGGCAUGGCAUCAGUCUUUGUCAAGUCACGUUGGCAGCCUCCUCCAGCUCAGACACGUGGGGCGGCCGCUCCGUCCUGGUGGUCACUGCUGGAGCUCUGCUCUGGGUGACAGCCACUUGCGUGUUGAGAUUGUUCUUUGGGAGAGAACAGGAUGAAGCUGAUCCUGACUCUCUUCCUGGCCAUCGCUCUAUCCAUGUCUCCAUUUGCUGGAUAUGGCCCUGGCGGUGCCGUCUAUACCAGGUCAGGUACAGGGGCAGCAAGGCUGUCGUUCCAGAGGGCCCAAAGCAGCAGUCCUUGGAGCCCAGCCCGAAGGCUGACAUCGUGCCUGGCAUCGUGGGCCACCUGCGGAAAAACCUUGCCCAAGGAUUGAUAGCCUGUCUCCUCAAACAUGCCUUGAUAGACAUCUGCAUUCUCUGCUUGCCGAGGAUUGCCCGCGGCCUCUGGAGAAGAGUAAGAAGACUUUGGAGACAGAUCACUGUCUUUGGGAACUGGCGACAUUAUCAAAGAAACCAGUGGGGAGGUGGUUUA